rnacentral:lncRNA from 12 species
CCCCCCCCCCCCCCCCCCCCCCCCCCCCCCCCCCCCCCCCCCCCCCCCCCCCCCCCCCCCCCCCCGCGUGUGACAGUGACAGUGACAGUGACAGUGACAGUGCGGGACGCCGGUGGGGACACCCAGUGACCGUGUGGGACAAGGUGGGACAAGGUGUGACGCUGGGGGACGCCGAUGGUGGCACUGGGGCACAAUGUGUGACACUGGGGCACAAUGUGUGACACUGGUGGUGGCAUUGAUGGUGACACUGGGUGCGACAGUGGGUGACACUGAUGGUGUGACAAUGUGUGACACUGAUGGUGACACUGGGUGACACCUGGUGACACUAUAUGACAAUGGGGGUGACACUGAUGGUGGCACUGAUGGUGACAUUGGGUGACAAUGUGUGACACAGGGUGGGGACAACGCGUGACACUCGGUAUGAUAACGUGUGAUACUAGUGGCGACACUGAUGGUGGCACAGGGUGACAAUAUGUGACACAGGUGCCACUGGGUGUGACACAGGGACCUGAGCCCUCACCUGAGCCCUCACCUGAGCCCUCACCUGAGCCCUCACCUGAGCCCUCACCUGAGCCCUCACCUGAGCCCUCACCUGAGCCCUCACCUGAGCCCUCACCUGAGCCCUCACCUGAGCCCUCACCUGAGCCCUCACCUGAGCCCUCACCUGAGCCCUCACCUGAGCCCUCACCUGAGCCCUCACCUGAGCCCUCACCUGAGCCCUCACCUGAGCCCUCACCUGAGCCCUCACCUGAGCCCUCACCUGAGCCCUCACCUGAGCCCUCACCUGAGCCCUCACCUGAGCCCUCACCUGAGCCCUCACCUGAGCCCUCACCUGAGCCCUCACCUGAGCCCUCACCUGAGCCCUCACCUGAGCCCUCACCUGAGCCCUCACCUGAGCCCUCACCUGAGCCCUCACCUGAGCCCUCACCUGAGCCCUCACCUGAGCCCUCACCUGAGCCCUCACCUGAGCCCUCACCUGAGCCCUCACCUGAGCCCUCACCUGAGCCCUCACCUGAGCCCUCACCUGAGCCCUCACCUGAGCCCUCACCUGAGCCCUCACCUGAGCCCUCACCUGAGCCCUCACCUGAGCCCUCACCUGAGCCCUCACCUGAGCCCUCACCUGAGCCCUCACCUGAGCCCUCACCUGAGCCCUCACCUGAGCCCUCACCUGAGCCCUCACCUGAGCCCUCACCUGAGCCCUCACCUGAGCCCUCACCUGAGCCCUCACCUGAGCCCUCACCUGAGCCCUCACCUGAGCCCUCACCUGAGCCCUCACCUGAGCCCUCACCUGAGCCCUCACCUGAGCCCUCACCUGAGCCCUCACCUGAGCCCUCACCUGAGCCCUCACCUGAGCCCUCACCUGAGCCCUCACCUGAGCCCUCACCUGAGCCCUCACCUGAGCCCUCACCUGAGCCCUCACCUGAGCCCUCACCUGAGCCCUCACCUGAGCCCUCACCUGAGCCCUCACCUGAGCCCUCACCUGAGCCCUCACCUGAGCCCUCACCUGAGCCCUCACCUGAGCCCUCACCUGAGCCCUCACCUGAGCCCUCACCUGAGCCCUCACCUGAGCCCUCACCUGAGCCCUCACCUGAGCCCUCACCUGAGCCCUCACCUGAGCCCUCACCUGAGCCCUCACCUGAGCCCUCACCUGAGCCCUCACCUGAGCCCUCACCUGAGCCCUCACCUGAGCCCUCACCUGAGCCCUCACCUGAGCCCUCACCUGAGCCCUCACCUGAGCCCUCACCUGAGCCCUCACCUGAGCCCUCACCUGAGCCCUCACCUGAGCCCUCACCUGAGCCCUCACCUGAGCCCUCACCUGAGCCCUCACCUGAGCCCUCACCUGAGCCCUCACCUGAGCCCUCACCUGAGCCCUCACCUGAGCCCUCACCUGAGCCCUCACCUGAGCCCUCACCUGAGCCCUCACCUGAGCCCUCACCUGAGCCCUCACCUGAGCCCUCACCUGAGCCCUCACCUGAGCCCUCACCUGAGCCCUCACCUGAGCCCUCACCUGAGCCCUCACCUGAGCCCUCACCUGAGCCCUCACCUGAGCCCUCACCUGAGCCCUCACCUGAGCCCUCACCUGAGCCCUCACCUGAGCCCUCACCUGAGCCCUCACCUGAGCCCUCACCUGAGCCCUCACCUGAGCCCUCACCUGAGCCCUCACCUGAGCCCUCACCUGAGCCCUCACCUGAGCCCUCACCUGAGCCCUCACCUGAGCCCUCACCUGAGCCCUCACCUGAGCCCUCACCUGAGCCCUCACCUGAGCCCUCACCUGAGCCCUCACCUGAGCCCUCACCUGAGCCCUCACCUGAGCCCUCACCUGAGCCCUCACCUGAGCCCUCACCUGAGCCCUCACCUGAGCCCUCACCUGAGCCCUCACCUGAGCCCUCACCUGAGCCCUCACCUGAGCCCUCACCUGAGCCCUCACCUGAGCCCUCACCUGAGCCCUCACCUGAGCCCUCACCUGAGCCCUCACCUGAGCCCUCACCUGAGCCCUCACCUGAGCCCUCACCUGAGCCCUCACCUGAGCCCUCACCUGAGCCCUCACCUGAGCCCUCACCUGAGCCCUCACCUGAGCCCUCACCUGAGCCCUCACCUGAGCCCUCACCUGAGCCCUCACCUGAGCCCUCACCUGAGCCCUCACCUGAGCCCUCACCUGAGCCCUCACCUGAGCCCUCACCUGAGCCCUCACCUGAGCCCUCACCUGAGCCCUCACCUGAGCCCUCACCUGAGCCCUCACCUGAGCCCUCACCUGAGCCCUCACCUGAGCCCUCACCUGAGCCCUCACCUGAGCCCUCACCUGAGCCCUCACCUGAGCCCUCACCUGAGCCCUCACCUGAGCCCUCACCUGAGCCCUCACCUGAGCCCUCACCUGAGCCCUCACCUGAGCCCUCACCUGAGCCCUCACCUGAGCCCUCACCUGAGCCCUCACCUGAGCCCUCACCUGAGCCCUCACCUGAGCCCUCACCUGAGCCCUCACCUGAGCCCUCACCUGAGCCCUCACCUGAGCCCUCACCUGAGCCCUCACCUGAGCCCUCACCUGAGCCCUCACCUGAGCCCUCACCUGAGCCCUCACCUGAGCCCUCACCUGAGCCCUCACCUGAGCCCUCACCUGAGCCCUCACCUGAGCCCUCACCUGAGCCCUCACCUGAGCCCUCACCUGAGCCCUCACCUGAGCCCUCACCUGAGCCCUCACCUGAGCCCUCACCUGAGCCCUCACCUGAGCCCUCACCUGAGCCCUCACCUGAGCCCUCACCUGAGCCCUCACCUGAGCCCUCACCUGAGCCCUCACCUGAGCCCUCACCUGAGCCCUCACCUGAGCCCUCACCUGAGCCCUCACCUGAGCCCUCACCUGAGCCCUCACCUGAGCCCUCACCUGAGCCCUCACCUGAGCCCUCACCUGAGCCCUCACCUGAGCCCUCACCUGAGCCCUCACCUGAGCCCUCACCUGAGCCCUCACCUGAGCCCUCACCUGAGCCCUCACCUGAGCCCUCACCUGAGCCCUCACCUGAGCCCUCACCUGAGCCCUCACCUGAGCCCUCACCUGAGCCCUCACCUGAGCCCUCACCUGAGCCCUCACCUGAGCCCUCACCUGAGCCCUCACCUGAGCCCUCACCUGAGCCCUCACCUGAGCCCUCACCUGAGCCCUCACCUGAGCCCUCACCUGAGCCCUCACCUGAGCCCUCACCUGAGCCCUCACCUGAGCCCUCACCUGAGCCCUCACCUGAGCCCUCACCUGAGCCCUCACCUGAGCCCUCACCUGAGCCCUCACCUGAGCCCUCACCUGAGCCCUCACCUGAGCCCUCACCUGAGCCCUCACCUGAGCCCUCACCUGAGCCCUCACCUGAGCCCUCACCUGAGCCCUCACCUGAGCCCUCACCUGAGCCCUCACCUGAGCCCUCACCUGAGCCCUCACCUGAGCCCUCACCUGAGCCCUCACCUGAGCCCUCACCUGAGCCCUCACCUGAGCCCUCACCUGAGCCCUCACCUGAGCCCUCACCUGAGCCCUCACCUGAGCCCUCACCUGAGCCCUCACCUGAGCCCUCACCUGAGCCCUCACCUGAGCCCUCACCUGAGCCCCCUGCUCUGCCUGGGCGCCUCCCCCUGCUGGCUGCUGCUCUGGAACGUGCUCUGCUGGAAGUGACAGACGGACAGAGCCACGGACACAGGAUGGACACACGGACGUGGGAUGGACACAGGGAUGGACACACCGACACAGGAUGGACACGGGGACGGACACACAGACACAGGAUGGACACGGGGACGGACAGACGGACACGGGAUGUACACAAGGAUGGACACACGGACACGGGAUGGGCACAGUGUGGACACAGGGAUGGACAGACGGACACGGAUGGACAGACGGACGUGGACACACAGACACGGGAUGGACACACGGACACGGGAUGGACACAGGGAUGGACAGAUGGGCGUGGAUGGGCAGAUGGACAUAGAUGGACAGACGGACAGGUGCCCGGCAGGGCCAGGCCCAUGGACAGUCCCACAGAGGGACCCCCACGGACAGUGACAGCCCUGGGGGGGCACAGGGAC